rnacentral:rRNA from 1 species
AUUGAACGCUGGCGGCAGGCCUAACACAUACAAGUCGAACGAGUGGCGGACGGGUGAGUAAUGUCUGGGAACCUGCCUGAUGGAGGGGGAUAACUACUGGAAACGGUAGCUACUACCGCAUACCAUCAGAUGUGCCCAGAUGGGAUUAGCUAGUUGGUGGGGUAACGGCUCACCAAGGCGACGAUCCCUAGCUGGUCUGAGAGGUUGACCAGGCACACUGGAACGUAGACAAGGUCCAGACUCCACCGGGAGGCAGGAGUGGGGAAAAUUGCAAAAUGGGCGCAAGCCGGAUGCAGCCAUGCCGCGUGUAGGAAGAAGGCCUUCGGGUUGUAAAGUACUUUCAGCGGGGAGGCGUUACCCGCAGAAGAAGCACCGGCUAACUCCGUGCCAGCAGCCGCGGUAAUAC